CGUUAAAGAGCCGAGCUCACGUUGCUGCGCAGAUCGUUUAUGAAAAAAAAUCCGUGUCCGCAGUCAGAGAACUUAGCAAUUACAAAAGCCCAAAGUGAGCAAGUCUUUACACUAGUGUAUUAAACACAACCAGAAAAGUGAGAGCUGGAAGAAACCAGAUGACCUGGGGAAAGCCAGAGAGGUGCACUAUCCAUUCCAGACCACACUGGAUUUACUAGUUGAGACAUUUAAAAUCUGUGCCUUUGCCUCUAGGAUCCAGAACAUAAAAAAUUUGUGAGUAAGAUUCAGAGUUCACUUUGCAACAUGUUCCUUUAUACAAAUUCCUGCUGUGACAGGGGACCAUCAUAACCUCAGGGCCUGGAAUAGCCUCUGAGGAAAGCUAAGGAUGGAUUCUGGUUUUGCGCAGUCAUCUUUCCUAUGUUUGUACUGUUGGAGGAUGGUGAGAUGGUGCACUGGAUGGAGUGUGGAAAUCGGCACCUAAGAAGUAGAAGAUGAAGAGAUCCAGCUUUAUUGCACAUGGGCUAUCAUUAAGAGGCUAAAAUACACUUUGCAGAUGAGUAGUUUCUCAUGUAAUAUAAUGAGCCUAAGUGUGAAACCUUAGCUUGUAUUAUUUACAUAUAAUUUGUGCUCAUAUUAAAAUGAAUUUAAUGUUU